rnacentral:rRNA from 1 species
GAUCAAGCUACAAAGAGCGUACGGUGGAUGUCUUGGCGUCAAGAGGCGAUGAAAGACGUGGGAACCUGCGAUAAGCCCAGAGGAGCUGGUAACCAAGCUGCGAUCCUGGGAUUUCUGAAUGGGGCAACCCGGCCCGUAGAGGGUCAUCACACGCUGAAUGCAUAGGCGUGUGAAGCGAACCCGGGGAACUGAAACAUCUCAGUACCCGGAGGAAAGGAAAGCAACCGCGACUCCGUAAGUAGCGGCGAGCGAAAGCGGAUAAGCCAGUAGUGUCGUGAGCCGGUUGGAAAGCCGGGCCGAAGAUGGUGACAGCCCAGUAGCGACAUAGCUGGUGAGGCCUCGAGUAAGUUCGGGCUCGUGAAACCCGGACUGAACAUGGGGGGUCCACCCUCCAAGCCUAAGUACUCCUUGACGACCGAUAGUGAAUCAGUAAGGCGACUGAAUGAUGACAAGCACCCCUGUUAGGGGAGUGAAAGAGUACCUGAAACCGUGCGCUUACAAGCGGUCGGAGCCUUCGAAAGAGGGUGACGGCGUGCCUUUUGCAUAAUGAGCCGGCGAGUUGCUCUGUACGGCGAGGCUAAGGUCUGACGGACCGGAGCCGGAGCGAAAGCGAGUCUGAGAAGGGCGCUGAGUCGUACGGGGCAGACGCGAAACCUAGUGAUCUACCCAUGGGCAGGUUGAAGGGCGGGUAAAGCCGCCUGGAGGACCGAACGCACCAACGUUGAAAAGUUGGGCGAUGACCUGUGGGGAGGAGUAAAAGUCUAAUCAAACUGGGAGAUAGCUCGUUCUCUCCGAAAUAGCUUUCGGGCUAGCCUCACGCGGCAACUGUUGGGGGUAGAGCUACUGGAUGCCUUUGGGGCCCUGCCCGGGUACCCGGGGCAACCAAACUCCGAAUACCAACAGCCAAGGCGUGGGAGUCAGUCCGCGGGUGAUAAUAUCCGCGGACAAAAGGAAAACAGUCCAGAUCGCCAGCUAAGGUCCCUGAUCUCCGCUUAGUUCUUAAGGAGGUCGGAUUGCCCAGACAGCCAGGAUGUUGGCUUAGAAGCAGCCAUCAUUUAAAGAGUGCGUAAUAGCUCACUGGUCGAGGAAUCCGGCGCCGAUAAUGAUCGGGAAUAAGCGGGGAACCGAAGCUGCGGGCUCUGAAAAGAGCGGUAGGAGAGCGUUCCUGUCGGCUGUGAAGCGGUCCCGGAAGGGUCCGUGGAGCGUCAGGAAGUGAAUAUGCCGGCUUGAGUAACGAUAAAGCGGGUGAAAAUCCCGCUCGCCGAAAGCCCAAGGUUUCCUGGGGAAGGUAAAUCCGCCCAGGGUUAGCCGGAUCCUAAGGCGAGGCUGAAAAGCGUAGUCGAUGGACAGCAGGUUAAUAUUCCUGCGCCUCUGUGGAGAUCGAUCCGGAGUGCGAAUCUGCUUGGUCAGCAGGGCGGUUAGAAGCGCCCAGGCCCCUCGAGGCCGACGCUGGCGACGCGGGUUCCGAGAAAAGCUCCGGUGGCGAAGCAGAGUCCGUACCAAAACCGACACAGGUGGGCGAGGCGAAUAGCCUCAGGCGCUCGAGAGAAUGGUCGUGAAGGAACUAGGCAAAUUGACCCCGUAAGUUCGCAAGAAGGGGGCCCUACUCCCGCAAGGGAAAGGGCGCAGAGAAAAGGCUCUAGCGACUGUUUAUCAAAAACACAGCUCUGUGCUAACUCGUAAGAGGAUGUAUACAGAGUGACGCUUGCCCGGUGCCGGAAUGUCACGGAAGCGGGUCAGCUUCGGCGAAGCUCGCAACCUAAGCACCGGUAAACGGCGGCCGUAACUAUGACGGUCCUAAGGUAGCGAAGUUCCUUGUCGGGUAAGUUCCGACGCGCAUGAAUAGCGUAACGACUGGAGCACUGUCUCCACGACCAACUCGGUGAAAUAGUAGUGGCGGUGAGGAUGCCGCCUACCCGCAGCAAGACGGAAAGACCCCGUGGACCUUUACUGUAGGCUUCCAUUGGCCACGAGCAUGCACUGCGUAGCAUAGGUGGGAGGCUUUGAAGCCCGGGUUCCGGCCCGGGUGGAGCCACAGGUGAAAUACCACCCUGUACACGUUUGCGGCCUAACCUCGACUCCCGUGAAACCGGGCGAGGGACAUUGGGUGCUGGGCAGUUUGGCUGGGGCGGUCUCCUCCCAAAGAGUAACGGAGGAGCGCAAUGGUCGGCUCAGCGCGGAUGGAAACCGCGUGUCGAGUGCAAAGGCACAAGCCGGCUUUACUGCGAGACCGACGGGUCGAGCAGUUACGAAAGUAGGCCUUAGUGAUCCUGCGAUCCCGUGUGGAAGGGUCGUAGCUCAUCGGAUAAAAGGUACCCCGGGGAUAACAGGCUUAUCGCUCCCGAGCGUCCAUAGCGGCGGAGCGGUUUGGCACCUCGAUGUCGGCUCAUCACAUCCUGGGGCUGUAGGCGGUCCCAAGGGUUCGGCUGUUCGCCGAUUAAAGUGGUACGCGAGCUGGGUUCAGACCGGCGUGAGCCAGGUCGGUCCCUAUCUGCUGUGGGCGUUGCAAGCUUGAGAGGAGUUCACCCUAGUACGAGAGGACUGGGUGGGACCCACCCCUGGUGAUCCUGUUGGCGCGCUCGCGCCACCGCAGGGUAGCUAAGUGGGGCAGGGAUAACCGCUGAAGGCAUCUAAGCGGGAAGCCCCCCUCGAGAUGAGGCUUGCUGGUUCUUCGGAACGAAAGACCCCUGGAAGACCACCAGGUUGAUAGGCCGCAUGUGUAAGGACAGAAAUGUUUUCAGCAGAGCGGUACUAACGGUCAAAGGCUUGAUCGC